GCUCAGUCCAUUACAGGAGAAGAAUGUAUGGCUUUUGAUGAUAAAAGCUUGACUAAUUUGUCUGGUAGAGUUCACCAUAUAAGUUUUUCCUUUAUUAAUUUGUAUA
rnacentral:pre_miRNA from 1 species